CGAGAUCCGAAUCGCUGUGCGGCGUGCCUAAUACCAUGCAUCUCGGACGGUAUUAGAGGUGAGAGGCAUUGCCUCUCGCUUCUUAGACAGUGGCGGACUGGUGAGUAACACGUACCCAACCUGCCCGUAAUACCGGGAUAACCUGGCGGAAUACCGAGGCUAAGCCCGGAUAGGCUAGUUCUCCCUGCAUGGGAGAGGCAGGGAAAGGGUGCGACCAGAUUUCGGAGGGGCCUGCCCCGCAUUAGCUAGUUGGUGAGGGUAACGGCUCCACCAAGGCGAUGAUGCGUAGCCGACCUGAGAGGGUGACCGGCCACACACUGACUGAGAGACGGCCCAGACUCCUACGGGAGGCAGCAGUAGGCUAAUCUUCGGCCAAUGAUCGAAUAGCCUGACCGAGCAACUAUGCGUGAGUGAGGAAGGCCUUCGGAGUUGUAAAUACAGUGUUGUUUCGGGAAGCAACGGAAAGGCGUAGGCCAAUUAGGUGACAGUACCAAGACGAGAAAGCCUCCGGCUAACUACGUGCCAGCAGCCGGCGGUAAUACGUAGGCGGUGCGAGCGUUGUCCGGAAUGAUUGGGCGUAUCGCCGCGCGCCAGGCGGUCCUGUUAAGUCUGAUGUGAAAGCCCCGCGGCUUAACUGCGGAGGGGCAUUGGAAACUGGGGGACUUGAGGCUAGGAGAAGGGAAGUGGAAUUCCCUGGUGUAGCGGUGAAAUGCGUAGAGAUCAGGAGGAAUACCCGAUGGCGAAGGCAGCUUUCCUGGCCUAGGUGCUGACGCUCAUGGCGCGAAAGCGUGGGGAGCAAAUCAGGAUUAGAUACCCUGGUAGUCCACGCCGUACAACGAUGAGUGCUAGGUGUGAGGGGUUUCAACACCCUUCGUGCCGCAGUUUCACACAAUAAGCACUCCGCCUGGCGGAGUACGGUCGCAAGACUAGAAACUCAAAGGAAUUGACGGGGGUCCCGCACAAGCGGUGGAGCAUGUCGGUUUAAUUCGAAGCAACGCGAAGAAGCCUUACCAGGGCUUCGACAUCCCUCUGACGUCGGUAGAGAUACCUCGUCCCUUCGGCACAAGAGGAGACACGGUGGUGCAAUGGUUGUCACCAGCUUCGUGUCGUGAGAUGUUCGGGUUAAGUCCCUGCAACGAGCGCAACCCUUAGAGCUUAGUUGCCAGCAUUGAGUCGGCACUCUAGGCUGACUGCCGCAGACGAUGCGGAGGAAGGCUGGGGAUGUUGUCAAAUCAUCAUGGCCCCUUAUGUCCUGGGACUACACACGUGCUACAAUGGCCGGUACAGAGGGAGGCGAAGGAGGCUUCCGGAGCGAAACCCUAAACAAGCCGGUCGUAGUUCGGAUUGCAGGCUGCAACUCGCCUGCAUGAAGCCGCUCUCGCUAGUAAUCGCGGACUCAGCAUGCCGCGGUGAAACGGUUCCCUGGGCCUGUGCACACACCUGC
rnacentral:rRNA from 1 species